GGUCAGGAUGAACGCAGCGACAGGCCUAACACAUGCAAGUCGAGGGGCAGCGACAAGGAGCAAUCUGAGGUGGCGACCGGCGCACGGGUGAGUAACACGUAUGCAACCUGCCUGUAAGCGGGGAAUAAACCCGUUGAAAAGACGGACUAAUAACCGCAUAAUACUAAAUUACUGCAUGGUAAUUUAUUUAAAACAUUUAUGGCUUACAGAUGGGCAUGCGCAUGAUUAGCUAGUUGGAGAGGUAACGGCUCCCCAAGGCAACGAUCAUUAGGGGUUCUGAGAGGAAGGUCCCCCACACUGGUACUGAGACACGGACCAGACUCCUACGGGAGGCAGCAGUGAGGAAUAUUGGUCAAUGGACGAGAGUCUGAACCAGCCAAGUCGCGUGCAAGGAAGAAUGUUCCCUAUGGAUUGUAAAUUGCUUUUGCAGGGGAAUAAAGUGCAUCACGUGUGAUGUUUUGUAUGUACUCUGCGAAUAAGGAUCGGCUAACUCCGUGCCAGCCGCAGC
rnacentral:rRNA from 1 species